GGCCUACCAUGGUGGUAACGGGUAACGGGGUGUUAGGGCACGACACCGGAGAGGGAGCCUGAGAAACGGCUACCACAUCCAAGGAUGGCAGCAGGCGCGCAAAUUACCCAAUCCCGACACGGGGAGGUAGUGACAAUAAAUAACAAUACAGGGUUCUUUAGGAUCUUGUAAUUGGAAUGAGUACAAUUUAAAUCUCUUAACGAGGAACAAUUGGAGGGCAAGUCUGGUGCCAGCAGCCGCGGUAAUUCCAGCUCCAAUAGCGUAUAUUAAAGUUGUUGCAGUUAAAAAGCUCGUAGUUGAAUUUCGGGAUCGAUGGGUCGGUCAUGCCCUCGGUAUGUACUGGUCCCAUUGGUUCUCACCUUCUAAGGAACCAUGAUGUCAUUCGGUUGAUGUUGUGGGGAAUUAGGACUGUUACCUUGAAAAAAUUAGAGUGUUUAAAGCAGGCUAACGCUUGAAUACAUUAGCAUGGAAUAAUGAAAUAGGACAUCGCAUUCUAUUUUGUUGGUUUCUAGGAUCGAUGUAAUGAUUAAUAGGGAUAGUUGGGGGCAUUAGUAUUCAAUUGUCAGAGGUGAAAUUCUUGGAUUUAUUGAAGACUAACUACUGCGAAAGCAUUUGCCAAGGAUGUUUUCAUUAAUCAAGAACGAAAGUUAGGGGAUCGAAGAUGAUUAGAUACCAUCGUAGUUCUAACCGUAAACGAUGCCAACCAGCGAUCCGUGGGAGUUAAACCUAUGACUCCACGGGCAGCUUCCG
rnacentral:rRNA from 1 species